UGGGGAAUUUUGGACAAUGGGCGCAAGCCUGAUCCAGCCAUGCCGCGUGCGGGAAGAAGGCCUUCGGGUUGUAAACCGCUUUUGUCAGGGAAGAAAUCUUCUGAGUUAAUACCUCGGGAGGAUGACGGUACCUGAAGAAUAAGCACCGGCUAACUACGUGCCAGCAGCCGCGGUAAUACGUGGGGUGCAAGCGUUAAUCGGAAUUACUGGGCGUAAAGCGUGCGCAGGCGGUUUUGUAAGACAGAGGUGAAAUCCCCGGGCUCAACCUGGGAACUGCCUUUGUGACUGCAAGGCUUGAGUGCGGCAGAGGGGGAUGGAAUUCCGCGUGUAGCAGUGAAAUGCGUAGAUAUGCGGAGGAACACCGAUGGCGAAGGCAAUCCCCUGGGCCUGCACUGACGCUCAUGCACGAAAGCGUGGGGAGCAAACAGGAUUAGAUAGCCCUGGUAGUCCACGCCCUAAACGAUGUCAACUGGUUGUUGGGAAGGUUCCUUCUCAGUAACGUAGCUAACGCGUGAAGUUGA
rnacentral:rRNA from 1 species